UACCAGCACCCCGAGUGGUCGGGACGAUUAUUGGGCCUAAAGCAUCCGUAGCCGGUUCUGCAAGUCCCCGUUAAAUCCAGCUGCUCAACAGAUGGGCCGCGGAGGAUACUACAGAGCUAGGAGGCAGGAGAGGCAAGCGGUACUCAGUGGGUAGGGGUAAAAUCCGUUGAUCCAUUGAAGACCACCAGUGGCGAAGGCGGCUUGCCAGAAUGCGCUCGACGGUGAGGGAUGAAAGCUGGGGGAGCAA
rnacentral:rRNA from 1 species